UACCAGCACCCCGAGUGGUCGGGACGUUUUAUUGGGCCUAAAGCAUCCGUAGCCGGUUCUACAAGUCUUCCGUUAAAUCCAACUGCUUAACAGGUGGGCUGCGGAAGAUACUAUGGAGCUAGGAGGCGGGAGAGGCAAGCGGUACUCGAUGGGUAGGGGUAAAAUCCUCUGAUCCAUUGAAGACCACCAGUGGCGAAGGCGGCUUGCCAGAACGCGCUCGACGGUGAGGGAUGAAAGCUGGGGGAGCAAACCGG
rnacentral:rRNA from 1 species